CAAAUAUUGAAGAUUCUGGUUGGGAAGUCCUGGCAAACCCUCCCCUAACACAGCUCACUGAACUUUGACACGAUUGUUGAUUCCCUGCAGUGACCAGAUAGUUUCAGUUUCUCAGUACUUCACCCUCAUCAAAGGUUACAGGAAUUUUCAACAUUUGCUCACUUGGGGAAAUCCAGAAAGCCUCACAGGAUUGCAGGAGGAAAUGAAAAUUAAAAAAUAAACGCAAAGCCCAUCCACCUGUGCUGAAGAGCAAGAGCAGGACACAGUUAAAUGACUAUGGUCAGGAUGGAGCAGAGCUACUACUGAAAGGGCUGACUGUGGCUGAUUUUCGAGAGGGGACACAGAAAGUGAUGCAUGGUGAAGAGCCACCACCUUGGUGAAGGACAAAGAGAGAAAAUGCUGUGUUGAGGUGAGAAACACAAAGUGAAUAAGACAUAUGGUCUAUUCUAGAGCUGACUAUGACUGAUUGAUGGCCCAGGACCACAAGCUCAGCUAACAACACACACCGUGUUCCAACAUGUCAAGUUUCUUGAAAUUUCUGUAGCAACAGAAUAAAGAAAGUCAUAGAUCAAGGUUCAGUGAUAAAGUAUGUCUAACAUCACCUUAUCCACUCACCUGUAGACAAGACAGUUUUCUAGGUUGUAUUCAUUUCAUCACUGAUCGAAUGAUUGACAGCAACAAUAAGAGGAAGGAUUUAAUUGGCUCAAAGUUCAAGGGAUAUCAGUCCAUUAUGAAGGUGAAACAGGAAUCUAUGGCUAUGUGUGUAGUGGAAGGAACUUUGGCCUGUUCAUGACAACCCAGAAGCAAAGAGCAGAGGGCCAAGAGCAAGGCUGAAGAUGCUCUGCUCAAGUUUUUGCAGUCCAAGGAGAAUGUGACUGACACAAUUCUACAGGGAUCCACAAAGGAACAAGCUGGACUACUAGAGGAGGGAUUCCAGCAGGAAAUAAAAAAAAACUUGAGGAUGAAAAGAAGUAUCUCCGGAAAGGAAACUGAACCACAGAUGGCAUUGUAAGCUAAGGGUCUAAGAAUAACGCCAUUCUGCCACUCAAACAGAGCUGAACAGGGUCACAUCAAUUGAUAAUGAUUGGGUCCUCCAUCAGAAAACUAAAAAUCUGGAAAGAUGUGCAGUGUGAUCAUUGAAAUCCUGUUUAUCUUCUUAUAAGAUUGUGCUCCAAGAAUAUCAUUGACAUCUCUACCACAAGAGAGGCGUCAACAGGGCUACUCAGAAGAAAGUCCCUUUUCCAGAUAAUCACCAGGAGACAAAUAGACACUGAUCACAGUCUGUUUUAAAAAAUAAUUUAUUUAUUUUUAUUGUUUUAUGUGUGUCAGUGUUUUGCCUGCAUGUAUGUCCAUGUGGGGGUGACAGACCUUGGAGUUAUAGACAGUCAUGAGCUGCCAUAUGGGUGCUGGGAUUUGAACCCAGGUUCUCUGGAAGAGCAGUGCUCUUUAACCUCUGAGAUAUUUCUUCAGCCCCAUACUGAGCACAUUCUUAAAUGGUGGCACACAAUUAGGAACCAAGUUGUCCAGGGAUGUGAUGGCUCUGAAAGACAGGGAAAGCCAGCCUCAUUUGUUUUGGAGACAAUAUAAAGUUCUGGAUUAUAUCAAAAGUGCUCAACCUUUCAGCAAUGGCAUGAUUUGUGGACACUGGCAAUGAGCAACCCUAUCAAUACACUCCAUCAUAAAUCAAGACAGCUGCAUGGAGAUCUAGAGUACCCAUAUACAAUAUCCACAGGAAGAUGGAAGAAGCCAUUAGCAUGGCAAGGAACUGCUCCACUGUUGAAGAAGGAAAUAUUCCAGUUCAUAUGGAUGGAAACUGUAACAGGACAUUUCCAAACUCUAAGGGUUGACACGGACUACAUAGUAAUACGAUGACAACUAAGCACAAUGUAUAGCUUAUGUACUUAUGUAUAAACUAUACAUAAGUAUGUGUUAUGUAUACUUCAUAUAUAAAAAUACAUAACUUUAAAAGGGCUUUAAAUGGUGCUGGGUAACCUAUAGAUAUCAAAGGAAUUUUAAUUAUUUAUCUUUAAUUAUAAACUUACACUACUCUUUGUCCUAUUAUUAGCAACUAUACUUGAAAUCCUGUUGAUUUUCCCCAAGCAUAAUAAAGAUUCU
rnacentral:lncRNA from 1 species